GUGACAAUAAAUAACAAUAUAGGGCUCUUUUGGGUCUUAUAAUUGGAAUGAGUACAAUUUAAAUCCCUUAACGAGGAUCAAUUGGAGGGCAAGUCUGGNGCCNGCAGCCGCGGUAAUUCCAGCUCCAAUAGCGUAUAUUAAAGUUGUUGCCGUUAAAAAGCUCGUAGUCGAACUUCGGCCUNUGCCGCCCGGUCCGCCUAUUUGGGUGUGUACUGGNGCGGNGGAGGCUUACCUCGNGGUGAGCUANUAUGCCCUUUACUGGGNGUGGNNGGGAACCAUGAUUUUUACUUUGAAAAAAUUAGAGGGUUCAAAGNAGGCUNACGCCCNAAUACAUNANCAUGGAAUAAUAAAAUAGGACGNGCGGUUCUAUUUUGUUGGUUUCUAGGAUCGCCGNAA
rnacentral:rRNA from 1 species